rnacentral:rRNA from 1 species
CAGGGAUUGCCCUAGUAACGGCGAGUGAAGCGGCAACAGCUCAAAUUUGAAAUCUGGCCUUCGGGUCCGAGUUGUAAUUUGUAGAGGAUGCUUUUGGUGAGGUGCCUUCCGAGUUCCCUGGAACGGGACGCCAUAGAGGGUGAGAGCCCCGUCUGGUUGGACACCGAUCCUCUGUAAAGCUCCUUCGACGAGUCGAGUAGUUUGGGAAUGCUGCUCUAAAUGGGAGGUAUAUGUCUUCUAAAGCUAAAUAUUGGCCAGAGACCGAUAGCGCACAAGUAGAGUGAUCGAAAGAUGAAAAGCACUUUGAAAAGAGAGUUAAAAAGUACGUGAAAUUGUUGAAAGGGAAGCGCUCAUGACCAGACUUGGGCUUGGUUGAUCAUCCAGGGUUCUCCCUGGUGCACUCUUCCAGUUCAGGCCAGCAUCAGUUCGCUGUGGGGGAUAAAGGCUUUGGGAAUGUGGCUCCCUCGGGAGUGUUAUAGCCCAUUGUGUAAUACCCUGUGGUGGACUGAGGUUCGCGCAUUCGCAAGGAUGCUGGCGUAAUGGUCAUCAGCGACCCGUCUUGAAACACGGACCAAGGAGUCGUCUUCGUAUGCGAGUGUUCGGGUGUUAAACCCCUACGCGUAAUGAAAGUGAACGCAGGUGAGAGCUUCGGCGCAUCAUCGACCGAUCCUGAUGUUCUCGGAUGGAUUUGAGUAAGAGCAUACGGGGCCGGACCCGAAAGAAGGUGAACUAUGCCUGUAUAGGGUGAAGCCAGAGGAAACUCUGGUGGAGGCUCGCAGCGGUUCUGACGUGCAAAUCGAUCGUCAAAUAUGGGCAUGGGGGCGAAAGACUAAUCGAACCUUCUAGUAGCUG